UGAUUGUCCGUCUUAUAUAAAAUUUUUUAUAAUUAAUAUUUUUAUUGCUGUUAGAUAAUAAAAUAUAAUUAAUAUUUUAUGCGUGAUUUAUCUUUUUAAUUAUUUUUAUAAUUUUUUUAAAUAAGACAGACGGUCA
rnacentral:pre_miRNA from 1 species